rnacentral:rRNA from 1 species
CCUACGGGAGGCAGCAGUAGGGAAUCUUUCACAAUGGGCGAAAGCCUGAUGGAGCAACGCCGCGUGCAGGAUGAAGGCCUUCGGGUUGUAAACUGCUUUUAUAAGCGAGAAAUAUGAUGGUAACUUAUGAAUAAGGAUCGGCUAACUACGUGCCAGCAGCCGCGGUCAUACGUAGGAUCCGAGCAUUAUCCGGAGUGACUGGGUGUAAAGAGUUGCGUAGGUGGCAUAAUAAGUAGCUAGUGAAAUCUGGUGGCUCAACCAUUCAGACUAUUAGCUAAACUGUUAAGCUCGAGACCGUUAGGGGUAACUGGAAUUUCUGGUGUAGGAGUGAAAUCCGUAGAUAUUAGAAGGAACACCAAUAGCGUAGGCAGGUUGCUGGGACGGUUCUGACACUAAGGCACGAAAGCGUAGGGAGCAAACGGGAUUAGAUACCCGAGUAGUC